GAGCUGCCGGAGCGUGCGCACUGGGCCAGCGGGCGGCCGGGGCAGGGCUGGGGUCCCGGCGCUGAGCGCCCCCAGCCGCGCCGGGCAGCCUGGCGCCUCGCUGAGUCGGAGCAACCCCCGGCAGGAGCUUUCAGGCUCUGGUCAAGCCUCGGGACCCGGGAAGCUAUCCCUGCCCUCGGGGGCUCGAGCCUGGAGUGGGGCUUGCAGAAAAGGAAAGGGGGCUGGCCUAAAGGCAAGAAGAGAAACCCCCCGAGGGACCUUGCUGUUCCGUGUUCCUACGACAGGGUACAUGAUAUUCCUGAAUGAGCAGAGAAGUCAGCUGAGGGCCACACACCCCGAUCUGCCUUUCACAGAAAUCAUGAAGAUGCUGGCUGUUCAGUGGGCCCAGCUGUCUCAGGAUAAAAAGGGGGAGAUGAACUCAAUGACCUCUACUGCGGGACCUCCAGGCAGCUCUUCAGCUCCCUGUGCAACAAGAAGGAACCUGCUGCAAAGGCAGCACCUGCAGCGCCUCUCAGGUAACCAGCCUGGGCCAGGCGGCUCAGCCGCAAACGCUGGCCUUGACUCCACCUGCGCCAGAGGUCACCAACAGGCGGCCCACGUGACACCUCUUGUUAUUAAAAUGCAAUUUUAAGACAGACUCUAGUCAAGCCCACUUACCACCAGGUGGGUGUUUAGGACAGGGUAGGUCUUCCACUAUAUCUGUUUUCCUCUUAGUUCGCCAGGCCCGCCUGCUCUGGGCCACGCAGGACACGGACGUCAGCUUCUCCUGGAGCGCUCGCUCACUUUAUUCCAUCUCUACGAGCUCCUCAAGUAUCCCAGAGCAUCCCCAGGCCUGUGGCCACCUCGGGUCUGGAUGCCGCAUUCUCUGACCUGUGGCACAUUCUGGGUGCCCAUGAUUAUGAUGAGGUUCUGUGCCCAUGUGGCCUCAGGGCUCUUGAGACCACCCUUCAACCAGGUCUUUGCUCACCUGUCUCCUGCCCAGGGACGCCACCCAGGUCACCGGUGCAAACCUCCAGCCCCUGCCCGUUUCUCUCCAUGAGUGCAUUGCCACCUCGCAGCCUCUUCCACUUGCUCAUUCCUGGUGUUAUUGCCUGUCUCCCACUGGAAGAGAAGGCCCUCAAGUUCAGCAACUGUUUUGCCUGUUUUGUUCACUGUGGUGAACCCCGGGCCUAGAACCACGCCUGGCACUCCCAGUAGGUGCUCAAUAAGUAUCCAAUGAGUGGACAAAUGAAUGGAUGUGUUCAACAAAUGACCCUAGAGCGUGUAUUCCUUCCAGGGACAGAGCGAGGUACUGGGGACACAGGAAGGACGAGGCAGAGCUCCGCGCUGACGAAACCAAGGGCCAAGCGUGCGAGUGAAUACGAACAUCCUGGCGUUAAAACGUCUUGCAUUCUAGUGAAAUGAGACCCAUUGGACACAGAGAAGCCCCACCACAAUUGCAUCUGUGUAAAAUCGAGAGAAAGAUCGUGAAAACAGCCAUGGCAG